rnacentral:rRNA from 1 species
UCCGGUGGUGAUGGCAAAGGGGAUCCACCUGUACCCAUUCCGAACACAGAAGUUAAGCCCUUUCACGCCGAAGAUACUUGGCUGGUAAUGGCCCGGGAAAAUAGGUAGCCGCCGGAG